GCCUGGGUGGCUCAGUCGGUUGAGCGUCCGACUUCAGCUCAGGUCAUGACCUCACGGUUCGUGGGUUCGAGCCCCGCAUUGGGCU
rnacentral:tRNA from 1 species